CUACAGGCUUAACACAUGCAAGUCGAGGGGCAUCAGGAAGAAAGCUUGCUUUCUUUGCUGGCGACCGGCGCACGGGUGAGUAACACGUAUCCAACCUGCCCUUUACUCGGGGAUAGCCUUUCGAAAGAAAGAUUAAUACCCGAUGGCAUAAUGAUUCCGCAUGGUUUCAUUAUUAAAGGAUUCCGGUAAAGGAUGGGGAUGCGUUCCAUUAGGUUGUUGGUGAGGUAACGGCCCACCAAGCCUUCGAUGGAUAGGGGUUCUGAGAGGAAGGUCCCCCACAUUGGAACUGAGACACGGUCCAAACUCCUACGGGAGGCAGCAGUGAGGAAUAUUGGUCAAUGGGCGGUAGCCUGAACCAGCCAAGUAGCGUGAAGGAUGAAGGCUCUAUGGGUCGUAAACUUCUUUUAUAUAAGAAUAAAGUGCAGUAUGUAUACUGUUUUGUAUGUAUUAUAUGAAUAAGGAUCGGCUAACUCCGUGCCAGCAGCCGCGGUAAUACGGAGGAUCCGAGCGUUAUCCGGAUUUAUUGGGUUUAAAGGGAGCGUAGGUGGACUGGUAAGUCAGUUGUGAAAGUUUGCGGCUCAACCGUAAAAUUGCAGUUGAUACUGUCAGUCUUGAGUACAGUAGAGGUGGGCGGAAUUCGUGGUGUAGCGGUGAAAUGCUUAGAUAUCACGAAGAACUCCGAUUGCGAAGGCAGCUCACUGGACUGCAACUGACACUGAUGCUCGAAAGUGUGGGUAUCAAACAGGAUUAGAUACCCUGGUAGUCCACACAGUAAACGAUGAAUACUCGCUGUUUGCGAUAUACAGUAAGCGGCCAAGCGAAAGCAUUAAGUAUUCCACCUGGGGAGUACGCCGGCAACGGUGAAACUCAAAGGAAUUGACGGGGGCCCGCACAAGCGGAGGAACAUGUGGUUUAAUUCGAUGAUACGCGAGGAACCUUACCCGGGCUUAAAUUGCAGUGGAAUGAUGUGGAAACAUGUCAGUGAGCAAUCACCGCUGUGAAGGUGCUGCAUGGUUGUCGUCAGCUCGUGCCGUGAGGUGUCGGCUUAAGUGCCAUAACGAGCGCAACCCUUAUCUUCAGUUACUAACAGGUCAUGCUGAGGACUCUGGAGAGACUGCCGUCGUAAGAUGUGAGGAAGGUGGGGAUGACGUCAAAUCAGCACGGCCCUUACGUCCGGGGCUACACACGUGUUACAAUGGGGGGUACAGAAGGCAGCUAGCGGGUGACCGUAUGCUAAUCCCAAAAGCCUCUCUCAGUUCGGAUCGAAGUCUGCAACCCGACUUCGUGAAGCUGGAUUCGCUAGUAAUCGCGCAUCAGCCACGGCGCGGUGAAUACGUUCCCGGGCCUUGUACACACCGCCCGUCAAGCCAUGGGAGCCGGGGGUACCUGAAGUACGUAACCGCAAGGAUCGUCCUAGGGUAAAACUGGUGACUGGGGCUAAG
rnacentral:rRNA from 1 species